UAACUGAAUCCAUAGGUUAAUGAGGCGAACCGGGGGAACUGAAACAUCUAAGUACCCCGAGGAAAAGAAAUCAACCGAGAUUCCCCCAGUAGCGGCGAGCGAACGGGGAGGAGCCCAGAGCCUGAAUCAGCAUGUGUGUUAGUGGAAGCGUCUGGAAAGGCGCGCGAUACAGGGUGACAGCCCCGUACACAAAAGCGCAUGUGCUGUGAGCUCGAUGAGUAGGGCGGGACACGUGGUAUCCUGUCUGAAUAUGGGGGGACCAUCCUCCAAGGCUAAAUACUCCUGACUGACCGAUAGUGAACCAGUACCGUGAGGGAAAGGCGAAAAGAACCCCGGCGAGGGGAGUGAAAAAGAACCUGAAACCGUGUACGUACAAGCAGUGGGAGCACCCUUCGGGGUGUGACUGCGUACCUUUUGUAUAAUGGGUCAGCGACUUAUAUUCUGUAGCAAGGUUAACCGUAUAGGGGAGCCGGAGGGAAACCGAGUCUUAAUUGGGCGUUAAGUUGCAGGGUAUAGACCCGAAACCCGGUGAUCUAGCCAUGGGCAGGUUGAAGGUUGGGUAACACUAACUGGAGGACCGAACCGACUAAUGUUGAAAAAUUAGCGGAUGACCUGUGGCUGGGGGUGAAAGGCCAAUCAAACCGGGAGAUAGCUGGUUCUCCCCGAAAGCUAUUUAGGUAGCGCCUCGUGAAUUCAUCUCCGGGGGUAGAGCACUGUUUCGGCUAGGGGGCCAUCCCGGCUUACCAACCCGAUGCAAACUGCGAAUACCGGAGAAUGUUAUCACGGGAGACACACGGCGGGUGCUAACGUCCGUCGUGAAGAGGGAAACAACCCAGACCGCCAGCUAAGGUCCCAAAGUCAUGGUUAAGUGGGAAACGAUGUGGGAAGGCCCAGACAGCCAGGAUGUUGGCUUAGAAGCAGCCAUCAUUUAAAGAAAGCGUAAUAGCUCACUGGUCGAGUCGGCCUGCGCGGAAGAUGUAACGGGGCUAAACCAU
rnacentral:rRNA from 1 species